CAUUCCCUCCUGUGUGUGAUCGUUAAUGUGCUGUAAAAAUACAUUACCCAGAUUCCGCGAUCUCUACAGGGUGUGAUUA
ensembl:miRNA MIR9854 microRNA mir-9854